rnacentral:piRNA from 1 species
UCCCACAGUUGUGUGAUUGUCUCUGCCAU